GACUGGCGGGACUGCGCGGAGGCGACUGCAGACGUAUCGGGGGUCCGGAGCCUGUCGCGGCUGCUAAGCGCUCGGCGCCUGGCGCUGGCGCUGGCCAAGGCUUGUUGCAAACAGGAACCCGAGGUGUUCACUUCACUGUUGAAGGAACGAGAGGGCAUCUGCUAAAGUUUCAGAUUCCAUUUCUGCUCAGUAUCCAGUAGUGGAUCAUGAAUUUGAUGCAGUGGUGGUAGGCGCUGGAGGGGCAGGCUUUGCGAGCUGCAUUUGGCCUUUCCGAGGCAGAGUUUGAUACAGCAUGUGUUACCAAGCUGUUUCCUACCAGGUCACACACUGUUGCAGCGCAGUCUCUGAGAUAUGAUACCAGCUGUUUUGUGGAGUAUUUUGCCUUGGAUCUCCUGAUAGAGAACAGGGAGUGCCGUGGUGUCAUUGCACUGUGCAUAGAGGACGGGUCCAUCCAUCACAUAAGAGCAAAGAACACUGUUGUUGCCACAGGAGUCAAGAAACUUUUCUUUUGAGCUAUUGACAGCUUUUAACAAGUUAUUAUACUCCUAUGAACAAAAUUUGGAGCAUAUUUGUUUCUCUCUGCCUGAUUUCUCCUGAAUUUGGAAACUAUUUGACAUGAGGAUUCUCAACCUGAUAAAAAUGAGCUUUCCUAAUAACUCAAGACCCAUCUGCCUAGGAAUAAACCAUCCCAGCUGUGAGAGACCAGACGAAACCUGAGACCAGAGACUCGUUUUCUUCUAAAAUGCUUUCUCCAAAAGAUUUUUAAACAGAAAAAGGGGGAAAUGUGAAAGGAAAAGAAAACUUGAGGCCCCCAAAAUCACUAAGCUAAAAGGAAAAGUCAAGCUGGGAAUGGCUUAGGGCAAACCUGCCUCCCAUUCUAUGCAAAGUCAUCCCUCCGUGCACUGAGAUAAAUGCUUAUCUAAUUGCCUCCUUUGGAGAGGCUCAUCAGAAACUCAAAAUAAUGCAACCAUUUGACUCUCACCUACCUGUGACCUGGAAGAUCCCUCUCUGCUUGAGUUGUCCUGCUUUUCUGGAUGGAACCAAUGUUCAUCUUACAUAUAUUGAUUGAUGUCUCAUGUCUCCCUAAAAUGUAUAAAACCAAGCUGUGCCCUGACCACCUUGGGCACAUGUCGUCAGGACCUCCUGAGGCUGUGCCACAGGCAUGCAGCCUCAACCUUGGCAAAAUAAACUUUCUAAAUUGACUGAG
rnacentral:lncRNA from 10 species